UUCUGCUGUAACUUGACCCUGUGCUGUGGUCUCUGCUUCCAAAGGCGUCAGACAUUUGGGGACUUAGAGGGACUCUCCCACGUAAUGUGGAGAGAUGCAGAGUAAGCUUUGAGAUGCUGCCCUCUGUUGUGAACCUAGUCAGAAAUGACAUGCGGAAGUAAUUAUUUGCUAUGCCUCAAGUGAUCGCUGGAGCCACGGCAGUGGACAGCUUUGCAGUGAAGCACAAAACUGGACCACUAGGGAUUGCGUGGAAUCGGGAGCUGUGCAGUUCCCUGACUGUAAUGAGAAGACUGCUGAAAAAUUGAUGCCGCCUGCAGAUUGCACAAUCCGCUGAACAGCAGGGGGUCGGCUUCUUACAUCUCCUACUCUCGGUACAAUAUGCUAAUUUCCGCAUGCAUAUGAGUGUAAAAGGGAAGAAGAAAAGAUUUCACAAAAGGAAAAAAAUGCAAAUGACAACCACAAAGAUCACUGCAGAGAAAUCCAUGAGCUUUAUAUGGAUUAACUGUGUUGGAGCUAGUGCUCGCCUGAGUUUAACCCUUUCUGUCCUAGAACCUUCGGCAUCUUUCUUUUGUGGUGCAGAGGAAUAGGUCUGAAGACUGAAAAGCUCAUAUUACAACCCCGCACAGUGUCCUUGCCACCCCGUACUUCACCCUAUUCUGGAAGUGCCACUUAUAGGGAAUCAGAGAGAUGGGCAAGGAGGCAGACGUGACAAGAUACUGUCUGUAAUCCAAACCCAAUCAAAUCCUUUGUCUCAGCAAAGAGGCCAUCAACAAAGAGGGCUAGUUAUGAUUGGGAUGUUUGGUUCUUUUCUGAGUUGGACACUUGUUUCCUAAGAACUGGACUGAGACCAUUAAUUAAUUUCACAACCAUCCUUGAAUGGCCUCCAACCUUCAGUCAAAUGACUGGGCCAUACUCCAACCCUGUGCUAAACACUCUUCAAACAACACAACCUACCACCCCAAAGGUCCUGGAGAUGAACAAGCUGCAACGUUCCACAUUGUUGGUCACAUAAUAUGUUGAACGGUAAGGCUGCUUUUUUUUUCAGUUUGUGAAUCACUGCAAACAUGUUUUGAUCUUUACCAGUUCACUAUUCAGAAUCAGUUGUAAACUGUUUCCUUCCCUUGUUUGCUGUUCAUUAUUCAUAGUAUGUAAUUGCUCACUCAAAUCAGUUGUUUUUGUUCCCUGAUUGGAUGAUGGAAACUUUACAAGCAGGAGAAUAAUUAAUUCUUAUAUUGUGAGCGCUUCAGGGCAGGGCCCUUGUCUUCCCAUAUGUCUGUUCAGUGCUUAGCACACUGGGAUUCUGUUAUUAACUGAGACCUUUGGGCACUACCACAGUAUAAAUGAAUGAAGAAUAGCAAACAACGAAGAACAAGUGCCGUUUUGUGGGUGAAAAUACUCCUGGUUGCAAGUGAAAGAACAGCCAUUCUCCAGAUAUUUCCCCUGCAUGCAGAUGACCAGAACAGCAAAUAAAUAAAUGCAGUAAGAAUGCUGUCGAAUUGAACAGUCAUUUGGAAAGCUAAUGAACAUUUGCAAACAACAUUUGUACAGGAACUGAUCAACAAGAACCAUUCUGAAGUUACACCGAAGCGCAAAAAAAAGUCUAGCAUGAUAAGACUUCAGUUUUGUAUUUUCCCCUUUGCAUCUCCCAGAUUUAAACAGGUUGAGAGUAUGAACACUGAGCUUCAACCUUGGGUGAAUUUUUAUGGUUGAGUGAAAAGGUUGUUGAGGGAAGGGGUAAGAGCAGUGCUUAAUUUGUAAUGAAAGAGAUGCCAGGGCUCACGCUGGGGGGCCAGAGAGUGGAGGCUGCUGGCUGGGCACCCAGCUCUGAAGGCAGCGCUGCACCAGCAGCAGCAUAGAUGUAAGGGUGCCAUAGUAUGGUAUUGCAGCCCUUACUGCUGCACUGCUGCUGAUGGUGGUGCUGCCUUUGGAACUGGGUACCUGGAGAACAGCGGCUGCUGGCUGGAAACUAGGAGGUACAGCGGUUAUGAACUGCCAAGCCUAGAUGUGGUAGAGCUCUGGCACCAAUUAAGCACUGGGUAAGAGAUAAAUAUGUUUAUAAUGGAAAUGCUGACCCAGACUUAAUGAUAUAGUGGCACUAGAAGGCAUCGCUAUAAGUACUGUAGGAGAAGACGUCAACAACUCUGGUCAAGGGACGUCCUGUUGAUGGUGAUUAGAGCUGCUCUGUUUCAGAAAUUUACAGCAUACUCUCAAAGCUCCUCUAUUCCAAUGUAAUUCUCUCAAGCCAGUCAACCGGAAAAAUGCUAAUAUGACAAAGUUCUAUGGGCCAAACCAGAACCCUGAAUUCAAACAUCCCUGAAACCUGUGUGCGUGUGGAUGUAUUUGCACAGUGCGGAUACAGCAGAUAGUUCAAAAUCUGGUCCUGAAGCCAGAUCUUCAGCUGGUAUAAACCCAGCGUGGUUUCAGACUGAAUUAUAUCAUGUAUAUCAGCUAAAGGAUCUGGAACUCCAAAUUCAAACACCCCUGAACUUUGAGGCUGUUCAAAAUCUGGAUCUGAACCUGGAUCCAAAUUUGCAAUUCUUGUCCAGCUCCAGGUGGUUGUAAGUGGGGGUGGGGGGGUACUGAGCUGACAUUGUAGCAUGACUUUUUCAGAGGCAGAGACCAACAGCACAUGCUUUUUAAAGAAAGUCCAAAGGUAUUGAAACAGUAGCACUGUGCAAUUGUACUUUUAUUUACUUAGCUAAUGAGCACUUUCUUCUUGACCCAGAGACUUCUGGAACUGGAAGGUCUAUAGCUCGUCCAAUGCCCCCAAAAUAGGGUUUCUAUAGGGCCAUAUUCUGAUAUCCUUACUCAUGACAAGCAGUCCCUUACUCUGAGAAUAGUCCCCGUUGAAGUCAAUGGAGCUACUUGUGGUCUAAGGUACUUCUCAAGAUGAGAAUGGACUUCACACAAUCUGGGCAAUAGUAUUUUGAAACGUGCUAUAGAAUAGCAUAGGAUGGAUUUUCAGUAGCCAUUCAAAGUGCUGCCGAGCUCAGGAGUACCCUGUGAGUUGCUGAGCUAAUGGCUUGAUCAUGAAGCCCAAAUGCAAGUAUAGCUCUCAGUGAAGUCAGUGUGAGGGAUGCAGGACUGGGCCCUUACUAAGUAAGAGCUCUGCACACAAAGGUGGUAAAUUCACCUACUCAUCUGUUUGUGCAUUUGGAAUAUCCUUUUCUACUUCUCCUCAAAUGGAUGUCCUUGUCUUGGCAACAAAGAGGGACAAGCUGGUUAUUUACUCUAGCACUAAGCUGUUGCAUUCGUAUACAGGACUCCAGCAUCGUCAGUCUACCACCCCACUGCUCCUACAAUUAUAAACUGUAGAUCAACUACUGUAGUUCCCUCACAGGUGAUGCUACUGCUGCUGGCCCUGAACCAGCAGAAGAAUUUGAAUGCAGGUUACUAAGGAAUGGGGCUGAUGGUGUUUCGCUGUAAACGGUUAGAUGUCACACUAACUGCUGCAGCCCAGAGGAGGCUGCAUGUCCUGGGGUUCUCAGAUACGCACAGUAUGCUCUAGCAUGUAAGUUGGUUGGUACCAUGCUUUGAGAUCCUUGUGGAUGACAGGUGGUGUGUAAACGUUAUCAUUAUUAUCCUGGGCAUGUGCAGCUCUCUGAUUGGGAGUGUUCUGUCCCUGUGUGCAGUUAUAUGUAGAACAUGACCUAAGUAAUUAAAAAUGUCCCAGCGUGCUUCCCCCUUUCCAUUUUUCUUUCCUCUAGCUCGGUUUGCUGGCAUUUACCCAAAACAACACAGAGUGAUAGCUAGGCGCGGGCUACUGCUGGUUUCCCUGCCAUGAUACAGCCAUUGAUCCUGCAGCAUCUGCCAGCUCAUCAGUGCUUACUCUAAUUCCCUGCCUCCAGGUUUUUCCCUUUCCCUCCAGGCAAUAGUUACUUCGGAUGAGCACUCCCUUUGACCAGCAUGAUGAGAUCUGCCAAUUACCAUGGUCUCAGUAUUCAACUUUGGGAGCGACUGUGAUCACACACUGACCUUAAACUAUGGUUUUUCCAGCCUGUCUGGGAUGGUGUCUUGAACCAAACUGAACUGCAGCUCCUCGGCUCUAGGCAUGGUGCUAGAAAACAGCCUCUAUGUUAAUUCACUGGAAAUAUACAGUAGCCUGACAUGACAUCCUCCUCCUUCCCCAUCUCUCCCCACUGUGAUCACCCAUCUACAAGGAAACAGGAAAAUCUGCUACCUUCCUCUGAUGAUGAGUGAUUUUUUUGGCAAGAUAGCUCUAUAUCUUAUGACAGAAGGGUUUGUAACACAGGAGUUUAGACAUGUGAGAGAAUAAGCAAUCUAAUAUAUCACGGCCCAAAGCAUUUUUCUCUGCAUCACAUUGACGAAUUAAAUAAAAGAAGGGAAAAAACAUAAGGAAAAAUGAAAUGAAACAUUAUCUAAACAAGAUUUAGUUAAACACGGUAAUUGCAAUAAUUGCCCCAAAAGCCUAGACUAUUAUGAAGAAGCUUAAAAUGGCCUGUUUGAAAAGCAUUAAUAAACUCUGAACUAAGGAGCAUCUGUUGUAACUUGGGAGAUUAGUAGAACAGUAAUGUGAAGUGGGUUUGGCCUGUGUUAGCCUGUGCUAAAUCCAUUAUGCAGUGGGAUUCAAAGCACUUUCAAUAUCCAGCAUUCUGCUUGCAAAACUCUUAAUUUCAUAAUUUAGAAUCUCAAUGUCUGAGCAAAAAAAUAAAUUAACCUAGGGAAAAAGAUGCAGUUAGUUGUGUUUGUGCCCUGCAUGGAGAGGUUCCUAGUGCAAUGCAGGGUGUGACCAGUUCAGCUGCGGUAAGUGUGGCUAGCUUGUGACUUACAACUGCAUUACAUCUGAGUUCAUUCACAUCGCCGCCUCGUGCCUGAGCUCCCUCCCCUCACAAGCCAACAAAUAAAAAGAGUGAAACUUAUUUUUGGCUGAAUUGUAGAGAUUUAACAUCAUUCCAGACUGUCAAAAGUAAGGAUCAGCAACUUCCCAUGAACGUCCACGGAGAGAUGAAAUAUAACCGAGUGGCACUAGUCAUCAUCAGAUUAGAACCGCAAGAACAACGAGAACAUUUUAUAUGUAUAUACCCGCUUUUGCCCCAACGGCUUUAUAAAUGAUGCGUCAGAUCCUCAGCUAGGGUAGAUCAGCCUAGCUCCUUUGAAGAUACUAGAGCUAUGCUAAUUUACAACAGCUGGGGAUCUGGCCUGGUAGAUAUCCUGCUUCAGUAAGGGUGACGUUCAGCUACACAGCAAGGUGCACAACAAUGGGAAAAGAGGGCACUUGAGCCAGGGACAACAGAGAAAAGCGUUACUCUUCCAAAGAAGUGUUAUGGGAUCUUUAAUGCCCCCUCUCCCCACACACACCAGACAGCACCUGGAUUUUUGUUGUGGUUGUUUUUUAUUUGGGUUGGGUUGGAUUUUUUGGUCCAGUCGACCCACACACAAAAUACAUCACCUGGACUUCAGUUUAUCAUGAUGUGAUGAGCUGAACUCCCUGGUAGUGCCACAUAGCAGUUAGUUA